GGAUUAAUAUUAUAUUUGGGUUUGGCACAGAUUUUCAUAAAUUAGAGAUAAAAUGCACAUUAAGUACAAAUUUAACUAAAAAAGGAUCCCUUCCCAGAUCUGACCCGGUUGAAGAUCGGGUCGGGUCCGAGUCGGGUUUGGGUCCGAAUCGGGUCCAUUUCUUUUUUGCUUUUUGAAAAUAAUUUUGGGCAAAUCUAAAUUGGCUAUAUCAUAACUAUAAGGUGCUGGGUGACCCAUGACUUAAAAGAUUUGCAAUUGACCUCCAGUGAGAAUAGAUGACCCGUGACGAAUCUGUCUACAACCCAAAUUUCAUAUCACAUUAUUUAUUUUAUCUAUAUGACUGAUUGGACGGAACUUGGUGAUUCCCACUCUCACUUCAUCACAAAGAAAAAGAACUUUUUAACCUCCAA
rnacentral:lncRNA from 1 species